rnacentral:misc_RNA from 1 species
UCCGGUUUGACACCGGCAGUCUCCCUAGAGUGCCCGGCAUAACCCGCUGGUAACUAGGGACGAGGGUUGCGCUCGUUGCGGGACUUAACCCAACAUCUCACGACACGAGCUGACGACAGCCACGCAGCACCUGAACCGGCAGUCCCCGAAGGGAAGGCCCUAUCUCUAGGGCUGUCCGCCGUUGUCUAGCCCAGGUAAGGUUCUUCGCGUUGCGUCGAAUUAAACCACAUCAUCCACCGCUUGUGCGGGCCCCCGUCAAUUCCUUUGAGUUUUAGCCUUGCGGCCGUACUCCCCAGGCGGGGUGCUUAAUGCGUUAGCUGCGGCACCCAGGGGGUCAAUACCCCGGACACCUAGUGCCCAUCGUUUACAGCGUGGACUAC